GAGCACCUGAGAUGGCGGCCGUCUCCUCAGGUGCUAUCACCAGAGGCCUGCCCUACCAGUUCCAGUGCCACACCAAUCCUGUUCUAAAAUGGUUUGAAGAAUUUUUAUGCCACCACAGGUAAGCUAAUAUUCCCUGUGUCUCUUCCUGUAACAGAGUGUGGCACGUGUUACUUUGCAUAGCAUUUUUUUUAGCAGGAGAAUGAGAUUCUUCGCAAACACUAGAUUUUCAUACCAUAUAGAUGAGAUAAUUCUCAUUUUAAUCUAAUUAAAAUAUAUUUAUAUCUGUUUCUGGAGCUUUCCACUUGUACUCUAUGCACAUUAUUGCAGACUCAUUGUAGCUGAGACACCUAGUUUAGAUUUAGGGAUAUGGAACGUCUAGGCAGGAUGCUGCUUAUGAAUAAUGAAUUCCUAAUGCAAAUGUGUAAAAUUUUAUUGCAUAAGGUGAGGGAUUAUGGAGUUUAACCAGAAUACAUAAGAAGACAGAGUGCACUUUGUUACUCACAAGUGAAGAAUUCCACAAAAAUUCUACUGAAUUUGUAUAUUAGUAUGCCUUGUGCAUUUUCCUGUGCUUUCCUUGGCUGGUUUUAAUCUGAAGUUAAUUUGCCCAAAGCACACCUCAUCCUAUUCCUGAGUUGCUUCUCCAGUCUUGUUCCUCCUGGGAAUGGAUCUUGUUUAUGUCAUGAAUAAAAAUACUUGAUUACUUUUGCA
rnacentral:lncRNA from 1 species